CUGAUAACACCUCUACCCAUGUGCUUUGCAAAUGACAACUGUGUUGCCUGCUUCAUUUGUUUGGGAGAAAUGCUCUAUUUUAAGAUAAUGGUUUGGCAAUUGUGUGUGCACUUUUCUCCCAUAAGUAUUCUUUUUAGAAGUAUCAAUAAUAAUGUCAUCUGUCUCUGUACCUGAUGAGUAAACUAUGAUCAAAAAAUGUUACCUGAAUUGCCCAAGUCCUGAGUAGUUGAAAGUGACUACAAGAAGAGGAGUCCUGAAUUGCCUGAGUUACUCAUAAAGUAAAGCAAAUGAUCAUCAAACCAACAGUGAAGGUCCGAAGUUGGAAAGCCAGCAAUGGAGUCACUAUGGUGCAGGAGUCUGAAUUCCCUCUUUGGAAGUCUGUGAGAGUGUUGGCCACUGAUUCCAGGCAGGAUUGGUUGGGCAGCUAUAUGGCACAGUGGAUAAAGUACUCAAUAUGGGAUCAGGAAGACCUGAAUUCAAAACUGACUUCAGAUACUAGCUAUGUGACCCAUGGAUUUAAUCUGCCUGGCCACUCCCACCAUGAAGAGAAAUCACACAAUUUUCCAUUGUUGGAAGAGUUUCCCCUGAUUUAUCAGCAUUCCUCCAUAAAAGUUUUCUCUUGCUUGCUAGAAGCCUUUCUGUUAAGAUAUGUACAUUACCUCGGCUACAAGAAGGGUUGGGGGAGGGAAGGGAGGGAAAGAAUAUGAUUCUUGUAACCAAGGAAUAAUGUUCUAAAUUGACUAAAUAAAAUAAAAACCAUAAAUUAAUAAAAUAAAGUA
rnacentral:lncRNA from 1 species